AUACUUAGUACGGCGAGUGAAGCGGUAAAAGCUCAAAUUUGAAAUCUGGUACUUUCAGUGCCCGAGUUGUAAUUUGUAGAAUUUGUCUUUGAUUAGGUCCUUGUCUAUGUUCCUUGGAACAGGACGUCAUAGAGGGUGAGAAUCCCGUUUGGCGAGGAUACCUUUUCUCUGUAAGACUUUUUCGAAGAGUCGAGUUGUUUGGGAAUGCAGCUCAAAGUGGGUGGUAAAUUCCAUCUAAAGCUAAAUAUUGGCGAGAGACCGAUAGCGAACAAGUACAGUGAUGGAAAGAUGAAAAGAACUUUGAAAAGAGAGUGAAAAAGUACGUGAAAUUGUUGAAAGGGAAGGGCAUUUGAUCAGACAUGGUGUUUUUUGCAUGCACUCGCCUCUCGUGGGCUUGGGCCUCUCAAAAAUUUCACUGGGCCAACAUCAAUUCUGGCAGUAGGAUAAAUCAUUAAGAAUGUAGCUACCUCGGUAGUGUUAUAGCUUAUUGGAAUACUGCUAGCUGGGAUUGAGGACUGCGCUUCGGCAAGGAUGUUGGCAUAAUGGUUAAAUGCCGCCCGUCUU
rnacentral:rRNA from 1 species